UGGGGAAUAUUGGGCAAUGGGGGCAACCCUGACCCAGCGACGCCGCGUGGGGGAAGACGGCCUUCGGGUUGUAAACCUCUUUUGUACGGGAAGAAGGAAGUGACGGUACUGUACGAAUAAGUCCCGGCUAACUACGUGCCAGCAGCCGCGGUAAUACGUAGGGGACGAGCGUUGUCCGGAAUUACUGGGCGUAAAGGGCGCGCAGGCUGUGCUGCAAGUCAGCUGUUAAAUGUCUGGGCUUAACCCGGGCAUGCGGUUGAGACUGCGGUGCUGGAGUGCUGUAGAGGCAAGUGGAAUUCCCAGUGUAGCGGUGAAAUGCGUAGAUAUUGGGAAGAACACCGGUGGCGAAGGCGACUUGCUGGGCAGCAACUGACGCUGAGGCGCGAAAGCCAGGGGAGCAAACGGGAUU
rnacentral:rRNA from 2 species